UACAGAGGGUGCAAGCGUUGUUCGGAAUUACUGGGCGUAAAGCGCGUGUAGGUGGCGAUGUAAGUCGGGUGUGAAAUCCCUCAGCUUAACUGAGGAAGUGCACUCGAUACUGUGUCGCUUGAGUGUUGGAGGGGAUGGCGGAAUUCCCGGUGUAGAGGUGAAAUGCGCAGAUAUCAGGAAGAACACCUAUGGCGAAGGCGAGCUCUCUGGGACGGUACUGGACG
rnacentral:rRNA from 1 species